GACGAACGCUGGCGGCGUGCUUAACACAUGCAAGUCGAACGGAAAGGCCCCUUUGGGGGUACUCGAGUGGCGAACGGGUGAGUAACACGUGCGUAACCUGCCUUUGCCUUCGGGAUAACUUCAGGAAACUGGGUCUAAUACCUGAUAGGAAUCCUUUCCGCCUGGUGGGGGGGGGAAAGCUUGGGCGGUUUUGGAUGGACUCGCGGCUUAUCUGUUUGUUGGUGGGGUGGUGGCUUACCUAGGCUUUGACGGGUAGCCGGCCUGAGAGGGCGACCGGCCACAUUGGGACUGAGAUACGGCCCAGACUCCUACGGGGGGCAACAGUGGGGAAUAAUGCACAAUGGGCGGAAGCCUGAUGCAGCAACGGCGCGGGCGGGAUGACGGGCUUCGGGUUGUAAAACGCUUUCAGCAGGUGAGAAGCUUGUGGUGACGGUACCUGCAGAAGAAGCACCGGCUAACUACGUG
rnacentral:rRNA from 1 species